GCUUCCACCCAGGCAAGGCUGACUGUCCCACAGGCUCAGGAGGUUUUGGCUGAGAUGAGCCAGCUCAGCAGGACAUGCUUGAAGCUGAGAGCAGAGCAAUGCUGUAAAAGCCAGCUACAGUAUGGCAGCAAAGGUGUUCUUCUCUGUCCUGGCAGGAGGAAACAGCCAGCUGUGACUCAUGCUCCCUGCUCCCAUUGCCUGGGUUCAUUUUCCACACAGCAGCUAUUGAUAAGACCUGGAAAGAGCAGGAAGUUUCCCUGGCAGGGGCAGCUGGGCAGGCAACAUGUGGUUGGACUGCUAAUGAGCCUGAGUGGAGCACUUUGCCCAAAGCCAUGACCAGGUUUCCGAGUUUUGACUGUUUCAUCAACAGCUCAUGGUGCUCAGCUCAGCCCCACCACACUUCAUGGUCAUGUCACAGAAGCACAGAAUGGUUUGGGUUGGAAGGGACCUUAAAGAUCCUCCCAUUCCACCCUCCUGCCGUGGGCAGGACACCUUCCACUAGAUCAGGUUGCCCAGGGUUCCAUCCAAACUGGCCUUGAACACUCCCACGGAUGGGGCAUCCACACCUUCUCUGGGCAGCCUGUUGCAACCUCACAGUAAAUGAGAAUGAGAAGGUCUUGGGAAAAGGGCUGGUGGCCAGGAGGAAUCUUCUCAACACUUGGGACAGGAUUUAUUCCUUUGAGCUUCACGUUUUCCUUCUCAGUUCUCUGCCUGGGCUGGUCAUGGCAGCCCCCUUGGGCAUCUGAGCUCUUGUGUAAAGUCAGACACCAGGCAGAACCUCUUCAGGUGAGAUGUGUUUGGUUUGAGCUCCAGCUUCGUGUGACCAAACCCCUUCUGCUGACAUGCAUUUGCUAAAUACCACAUCUGGAAAACCAGCAGGUGAAUGCACAGUAUCUCACACAAAACCCCACUGGCAAUUGUAAAUUAGAAUAAACCCUUUUUGGCUUGUG